rnacentral:rRNA from 1 species
UACAGAGGUCCCAAGCGUUGUUCGGAUUCAUUGGGCGUAAAGGGUGCGUAGGUGGCGCUGUAAGUCGGGUGUGAAAUUUCGGAGCUUAACUCCGAAACUGCAUUCGAUACUGCGGUGCUUGAGGACUGGAGAGGAGACUGGAAUUCAUGGUGUAGCAGUGAAAUGCGUAGAGAUCAUGAGGAAGACCAGUGGCGAAGGCGGGUCUCUGGGCAGUAACUGACGCUGAGAAGCGAAAAGCGUGGGGAGCGAACAGG